rnacentral:misc_RNA from 1 species
AAUCUGGCCUCCUCAGUACCAUUAGUAAAAAUAAUAGACCUGUAUUGGUUACCCACAUCAGGACCUUGACCAAACACUUGCCUUGAAUCAUGACUAGACCAAAAAACCUCCAAAAGCUGCCUAAAAUUUAUCACCCCUGGAUCAUAUUCUACCUGUACGGACUCAGCAUGAUCACCUAAGCUCCUGUAUUCGGGAUUGGAUUUGGAUCCGCCGGCGUAACCCACGGUGGUUCGCACUACUCCAUUAGCACACCCGAAGGCGGCUUCGGAUCUCCAGAAGGCACCGAGAGCGAAGACGGCGAUUUUCAGGGGCUGAUCCGAGGGUUCCCUCGAGGGAUCAGAGAUCUGAUUUGGUAUUCGAAUACCAAGCGCUCGAUUGGUCACUGCAAUUGUGAGUAGCGCGAGGGUCAGAAGAUGAAGAAUGGCA